GAGCGCUGGUGGUUGUGGAGGUCUUUGCGUUCCACGUAGGCCUUGGGGCAGGCGGCGCAGCGGUGAGGGCGAUGGCCGGCGUGGGCGCGGCAGUGCUUGCGGUACACGGAGGGGUCGGCGAAGGAUUUGGGGCAAUCCGGGCAGGAAAAUGGCCGCUCGCCCGUGUGGGAACGUUGGUGGAUGGCCAGUUUGGAGAGGGUGGUGUAGGAUUUGGGGNACAGAAUUUUUAAGUGUUAAUUUGGGGGGCUGGGGGGGGGUUGGGGUCAGUCGAAGGGGUGGUGGUGGUAUCUGAGGGGGGUUUGGGGUCACCACGGGCGCUGUUGGUGGUGGUGACGGUGGUGGUAUCGCCUCCAGUUGUCUCUCCGGUGGUACCAGCGCCGGUUGUGUCGUUGGUGGUAGCGCCGGGUGAGGCUCCGGUGGUUCCUCUGGUGAUUCCUCUGAUGGUUCCUCUGGUGGUACAUCCAGUGGUUCCUCUGAUGGUAUCUCCAAUGGUACCUCCGAUGGUAUCUCCAACACGACGUCCGAUGGUACCUCCGGUGGUGCCUCCGGUGGUACCUCUGCUGGCAUCUCCAAUGUUACGCCUGAUGGUACCCCCAGUCACAGUACCGCCGGUUGUACCCCUGGUGGUUGUCACCCGCCUGGUAACAUCUCUGGUGGUUGCACCUCUGGCGGUUGUAGCUCUGGUGGUUGUAGCUCCGGUGGUUGUAGCUCUGGUGGUGGUGACAUCUCCAGCAGUACCUGCAGCUCUACCUCUGCUGGUUGUACCUUUGGUGGUUGUACCUCCGCCGGUUGUCACCAGGCCGAUGGUACCUCUGGUGGUGGCACUUCUGGUGGUGGCACCUCUGGUCGUCACCGCGCCGACGGUGGUUUCAGAGGCGUCCGUCGUGGUGGCGGCGUCUCCGGUGGCUUUGGACGCAGCCCUGGUGGUGGUGGCACCUCGGGAGCGGGUGACGGUGACACCUCGGGGGCGGGGGGUGUUGGUGGCACCUCGGGACCUGGUGACGGUGACAGCUUUGGGUGUUCUGGAGGUGGCAUCCGCAGCUGCUCCGGCGGCGCCUGAGAUGGGCGCGGCGAUGGGGGCGCCUCGGGACCUGCGGGAGGUGACACCAAGGGUGGAGGCGACGUUACGGGAGGUGGCACCAGUGGAGGUGACACCCAUGGAGGUGACAAUGGGGGAGGUGAAAAUGGUGGAGGUGNCCCCUUGCCCCCCGCCAUGGCGGCCUCCCCCUGCGGCUCCUUCUCCUGCACCGACUGCGGCCGCCGUUACCGCCACCGCGGCAGCCUGGCCAACCACCGCCACACUCACCGGCCCGGCGUCUUCUCCUGCCCCUCCUGCCCCAAAUCCUUCCCCAACCUCAUGGCCCUCCGCAACCACGCGCGGCUGCACCGCCGCCGGCCCUCCUCCCCCCGGCCUCCCGUGGCCACCGAGCGGCUGUACGGCUGCGAGGUGUGCGGGAAGGCUUACCUGCACUCCGGGAGCCUCAUCAACCACCGCAGGACUCACCAGACGGGAGAUUUCGGCUGCCACCUCUGCCCCAAACGCUUCUCCAACGUGGCCGCCCUCAAAGGGCACCUCCGGAGGCACAGCAGGCGAUGCCGGCGUUACCACCGGCCGAGGACGGGGCAAGGAGGGGGGAAUCCGUGCGGGAUGUGCCAGCAGGAGGGCGGCCCCGCGGCGGCGACGGGCAACCAGGAGGAGGAGGAGGAGGAGGAGGAGGAGGAGGAGGAAGGCAGGAGGAGGCAGCAGCUGGCGCCCAGGCAACAGUCGGCGAUGAGGCAGCAGCAGUCGGCGGGGAAGCAACAGGCGGCGACGCAGCAGCAGCAGGCAGCAGCGCAGCAGCAACAGGCGGCGAUGCAGCAGCAGCAGUCGUCGACGCGGCCGUUCCGGUGCGAGGAGUGCGGCCGGAGCUACAAGCAUGCUGGGAGCUUGGUGAACCAUCGGCACAGCCACACCACCGGGCUGUUCCGGUGCUCCGCCUGUCACAAGGCCUUCUACAACCUGAUGGCGCUGAAGAACCAUCGGAGGACUCACGCCGAGCGGCGGUGCGGGGUUUGCCCCAAAGAGUUCCGGGUCCGGGAGCGGCCGGUGGGGCAGCAGAACCAGCAGCAGGAGGGGGGGCGGGCGGAGGAGGAGGUGUUGGAACAGGGGGAGGCGGCGGGGGUGGCGCUGGAGGACUCUUCGGUGCCGCCAGCGGUGUUAGAAGCGGGGGAGGAGCCUCAGCAACAGCGCGUCAGUGCGAUGGAGGACCCGCUGACGUUGUCAGCGGCUCUGCAAGCAGAAGAGAGGCUUCCCAAAAGCUUAGGUGCGAUGGAGGCGGUG
rnacentral:lncRNA from 1 species